AAACUUUUUGUAAGGACUAUUAAUUUCACCAUAAUUACCAUAAAAAAAUAAUCAAAAGGGAAUUAUGGUAUAAU
rnacentral:sRNA from 12 species